rnacentral:rRNA from 1 species
UGAAUUGCAGAAUCCCGUGAACCAUCGAGUCUUUGAACGCAAGUUGCGCCUGAAGCCAUUAGGCUAAGGGCACGUCUGCCUGGGCGUCACGCAUCGCGUCACCCCUCCCCCAAUUCUGGUGGAAGGGGUG